rnacentral:lncRNA from 1 species
UAAAGGUAUUGUGUCCACUAAAAAAAUUUUACAACUAAAAAGAUUUUUUUAAAUGCACAUUGUAAAUUAGGCUCCAAAAUGUUUUAGAGCUUUCUAGAAGUCAAAAAAAGCAUGGUUAUUUGCAAGACCUUCAGGACAGAAAGUAGUUGCUUAGAAGAAGUAUAACUUUCUCAGGUGUUAGGCCUGGGAAAAAUUCUUUUUUUCAGAUAUUUAUAAAGUUGAUGCCAUGUGAUAUUGUGAACACUUCAUAACGAGCCUCCAGUAAAUAGUAUGAAGCUGUUUUGUUGUUGUUGUUGUUUUACAUGAGAAAUCUAUGCAGAGCCAACAUCUUUUUUUUUGGUACCAGGGAUUGAACCUGGGUGCUUAACCACUGAGCCAUAUUCCCAAUCCUUUUUGUUUUAAUUUUUGAGAUAGGAUCCUGUUAGGUUGCUUAGGGCUUCACUAAAUUGCUAAGGCUGGCCUCAAACUUGUAAUAUUCCUGCCUCAGCCUCCUGAGCUGCUGAGAUUAUAGGCAUGUGCCUCUGUGUCUGGCUCCAAUGUUCUGUAAUGUUGAUGUGUCACUCUUUGGAUGCAUAGUGUGAUCCAAGGAUGGAUUAUACAUUAGAUGAACAGACAGACCCCACGUUUUCUGAGCAGUGCUCCAUGAAUGUAUGUUUUGAGACUAAACCUUUGAUAAGCAUAGAAAAACUUUAUUCUUUUAUUCUUUCUUUGAAAACCUACAGUAAGGAAAUAUUUUAUAUUGUCAGUAAACAGCAGAUUCUUGAAUUUUAACACACCUAGCAGAGGGUAAGAUAAAUUCCUUUCAAG